ensembl:lncRNA
CACAGCAAUAAGGCUUUACCAGAACCCAAUGUCCUUCUCACAGAACCCCCCCAUCUUGAAAUCCAUGAAGUAAAACCUCUAUUGAACCUAAAGAAUAAAACCUCUAUUCUUUGUUUUCCAGUAUAAUACUCAUUUAUUGCAACAGAAAUGGAUCAAGAUAACAGCUUUACAAACUUUGUCAUCAUAUUCUUGCUUAUAAAGUGCUUUGUCACCAUUCUGUGCUGUUCUGAUGAAAGUUAUGUGGCCUCAUGAAUACAAAGCUCCAUCCUUGGGCUUAACACAAGUUGGUUCUCAGCAAAGAGUGAUAAUUUUUUUGUGGCUCCCUUCAUUGAAGCCUCAUUGCACAGUACAGACAGAACCAAUUAUCGAGAGUCCUGGAGUGUAGACCUAGCUCUUCCAACUAUUCGAUCUUCGACCUCAUGCUGGUAACUGCUUCCCUGGGGUGUCUUUACUUUAGUAUUAGGAGAGGUGACCAGAUUCACUCUUUCUACUCUACUAUCCCAGGUGUCCCACAGGGUAGAAAAGACUUGCCACAAUGACGGUCUUGAAGAGAUUUGCCUUUACCGGUACCCCAGCUUUAGAAAGUAGAGGUCACAGGUGGAUAUAUUAGAGACACAUGCCGAAGUCAAGGCUCAUAGUACAACUCAUUAAGCUUUAUUGCAAAGCAGUAAAAGAGUCCUUCAAGUUAGUAGCCCCUAUAUCUAUCACCAUCAUCACUGUAGUAGCAGUAGUAAAUAUUCAUUAACCACUUUUCACACUGUUUCAUUUGACCCUUACAAGCACUCCACAAAGCAGACACCAUUAUUAACUCUACACAGCAGAUGAGGAAACAGGUCACAGAACAAGGCUCUUAGCCAGGGUUAUGCAAGCUUUGAUCAUGGUGGCUUGAUUUACCAGUUAGACUUGUGGCCAUGAACUUAGUUGGCAAAUGGUGUCAACAGAUCAAGCGACAGGCUUCAGAACAUUGGGUAGAGAACUUGGGUGAUCAUCUGUCCAGAGGGCAGGCACACAGUGUUCAUCUGGGACUUAUCCCAGACCCACUGGAGGCCAAUACCAAAUUGCACAACUCUUCUAGAUCAUGAAGCCAUAGGGUGGCUUGGACAUAAGAGGAACAUGCAAGAGAAUUUCAUCUACAAGCCUCAAGUUGCAAAGUUCUGACUUGUAUAUGAAGCAAGUCUGCAGACAAUUACUGAUCUUGGUGCUUAGGAUAGAAACUUCAAAAGGUACAGGAAAAAAGGAAUGAGUAUCCCAAGAACAGAAAUAUUAUGCCAAUAAAGGAAGAGCUAAAACAAAAAUUCAGUAUCUUCUGGGAUGGCCCAGCCACAGCAAUCUGGUGUAUCACCUACAUGAUCAAGACUAUGACACUCAGGAAGUGCAUUAGCAGCCCUUUCUAUCUACAGCAGAGCUGUUACAAACUGUGACUCCCGGGCAAGUCACAUCAAUAAAGGUCACAUGCUCAGAAUGCAAAAGUAUGGUAUGAAGCAGAAAAACUGCAUUUAGGGCCCAGAAUAUCUAGAUUAGAGAGACAGAUACAGUGGAGCCUUAGACCGAAUGGAACAACCAAUACAGGAGAAAAUAAAGUGUGGAUGAGGUUUAUGACAUAGAGAAUGGACCAACAGUUCUAACUCCAUUGUCUAAGAUGUUUUGUAAGCUCUAUUAGAAGAAUUUAUAUGUCAGUGGUUGGUGUAUGGGCCUGAAAAUAAGGGAAAGAUACUCCAGGAAAGAUUCAAGGCACUGUGAUCACAUUGGGAAGGGACAGUCCAAAAUGACAGAAUCUAGCUCAGGAUAAAUGUUCUUCUCUGUAAAGCCUGUUAACAUUUGUCUGAGUGGUAAUUAGAAACUAAUGGCAGACCACAUUUACUUGCUUGAUACUUUGAAGAUAAUAUAAUUUUGUUUAAGCCAUUCAUUUGAUGGAAUAGUUUUUAUAAAUAUUUCGUCCUACAGUGAGUUCAGAUGACUACUACUAACCUGAGAUACUUACUAAGGAUUCUUAUAAGAUUGUUUGUUUAGAAGGGGGCAGACCCUGUUAGCUUUUGGCCACAUAACAGGUAGGCAGUAUGUGUCAAACCAGCCAUGCUGACCAUAUUUACAGAUCAUCUCCCCAGUGUCACUCUUUAAAAUAUGAUAUUGCCAAUUUUUUUUAUUUUUUAUUUUUAUUAGUUCAAGUUAGGACCAAGCUUGUUUCUCAUGUCAAUCCCUUCUCCCUCUCCCUGCCCUCACCCGCAUCCCUCCUCCCCUACCCCGGACCUACCCCCACCCCGUCCACCCUCCACUUCCCAGGCAGGGUAGGGCCCUCAACCAGGGCUCUCCAAAGUCCGCCAAAUCUUCCUGGCCUGGGCCUGGGCCCUUCCCCAUGUGUCCAGGGCAAGAGUGUAUCCCUUCAUGUGGGAUGGGCUCUCAAAGUCCCAUCUUACACCAAGGAAAAAUACUAAUCCACUACCAGGGGCUCCAUGGAGAGUAGAGAUAUUGACAAAUUUUUAUAAACCUAUUAAGGUCCCUGUCAUGGAAAAUGUAUAUAGCCAAAUGCCCACACUUCACUGGAAAUGCAAUCCACAAAGACUUAUUUUUUGAUGUUCCUAGAAGAGGAAACCCACCUAUUAAUUAGGAAAAGUACUGUCUUCCUCCAUGUCAUCCUGUCUUCCCCCUUGUGUCCUCUGUCCUCACAGAUUUCUUCUUUCUUUUGCUCACUCCACGUUUCCUGCUUUCUCCCUCCCUCCCUCCUUCACUUCCUCUUAAAGAUACAUUGUAGUUUGAUUUCCUGAAGAGUCAAUUCUGGAAAAAUACUUUAACAACCUAAUGUUCCUUAAAGGGUUUCCUUGAGAUACAGAUCUCUAGAGGUGGGAAAAUCGAGUAGGAACAAGUCAGGGGAGAAGUUCUAUAAUACAGGAUUGGCAGCCUCAUCCAAUCCCAAAGGGGUUCAAGAGCUAGGCCACAGCUUCAGAGUUGUUCUGAAUUAGGCCAAAAAAGGUAAAAUAAAUUUUCUCCUAAUAUCACAUCACUGGUUGUACUGGCUGGUUUUGUGUGUCAACUUGACACAAGCUAGAGUCAGAGGAAGCAGCCUCAGAUGAGGAACUGCCUCCUUGAAAUCCCACUGGAAGGCACUUUCUCUAUUAGUGACCAAUGUGGGAGGGCCCAGCCCAUGGUGGGUGAUGCCAUCCGUGAGCUCCUGAUCCUGGGUUCUCUAAGAAGGUGAGGGGAGCAAGCUACAGGAAAACAGCAAAUAAGCAGUACCUCUUCAUGGCCUCUGCAUCAGCUCCUGCCCUGGGAUCCUGCCCUGUUUAAGUUCCUGUCUUGACUUCUUUCAAUGAUAAGCAGCAAUGCUGAAGUGUAAACCAAGUAACCCCCCACUUGCUUUUUUGGUCAUGAUGUUUCAUUUCAGCAAUAGAAACCUUAUUGAAGACUCUGGGUAUAGACUUUCUAGGGAGGAGUGAAACCUCAGAUGUCCUUAGGGUACCCAUGAAGCUUAAGAAUCCAUGGAAGGGCUUACAGAUGCACACUUCUGCCCUCUACAAUCCCAGGCUUUGACAAGGACACAGGCACUGUGUGUCAUGUGGCUAGCACAUGUGUUCAACUCAAGGGACCUUAGUGGAAUAUCUACAGGAGAGUCAGUCAACACUCUUAUCCUAGAAAGAUAGGAGGGAGGUGAAAGUACUUUGAUCAAGAGGUUCAUUGCAGAGCUUUUGCAAGAGUCUAGAAAUACAAUAGCAAAGUGGGACUAAAAGGGAUGGGAAGUUCAGAGGCUGAUCCACAAAAAUCAGCAAAGAAACAAUAUAUUUUGCUCACUGCAAGAGAACCCUGAGAUGGCCAGAAGCUGAAUCUCCAAAUGUCUCACAGUGCACAUUUGAAUCUAGUUUUCUGUACUAGCAAGUUCUCCCAGAAGUGUUCCAGUUAGGAGCUGUAACACACAGAACAUAUUUUUUCUUUUCUUGCAUUUUUAGAUAAGCUCUUGGGUGGUUUUGUAUAAUUAAAGGGUAACAGAAGUUUCAUUUUGAUUUUGGCUCUUACUAGUUGUUUCUCUCCUUCCUUCCUUCCUUCCUUCCUUCCUUCCUUCCUUCCUUCCUUCCUCUGUUCUCUCUUUCUAUCUCUUUCUCUUUCUCUCUCUCUUUCUUCUUUUUUCUUCCUUCCUUUAUUCCUUCCUUCCACUAUAUAAUGACUUUUUUGUAAUGAAUUCACAAAUAAAAACAUCAUAUAUCACACAACUAGAUUAAUGUUGCCACUCAAACAAAAAGUUACCCAAGUCCAAACUCUAUAAUAAUCUCAAAGAACAUCUAUGCAGUUACAGUAGUUAAUAGCUAUUCUGAUUGCUAAUAUUGGUUUCUAGUAAAGUUUUUAGGCCAUUUAUUUUAAGCUUAUGUGUGUUUUACUUGUAUGUAUGUUUGUGCACCACAUGCAUGCUUGGUACUCAGAGUGAUCAGCAGAGUGGAUCAGAUGCUCUGAGACUAGAAUUACAGCUAAUUUUGACUGCUAUGUGGGUGCUGGCAAUCAAACCUUGAUUCUUUGUAAGAAAAACAAGUGUUUUUAAUUGCUGAACCAUCUUUCUAGCUUUCUAGUUGAGUUUUUAAGACCUGUUCUGAAUUGCAUUUUCCUUAUCUAUAAAAUGUGUGCAAUGUUACUCACUGUUCUCAGAAUUUUACAUUACUAUGAAGUAUAUCACAAGGUUAAGGAAGGUUACCUGGGUCUGAAAAGCACUUAGUAGAGUGCCUAAGCAAGAUAGACUUUGUUUAACAAGGUCAGUUUCUUUCUGAUGGGAGAGGAAACUAGAUCAAACAUUCUAGACUGUUCCAUUGAUUUCCAACUUUGAACUAGACUCUUGAGAGAAAAUGCUUUUGGAUAGCUUUCAUGUUGCAAAACAGUGGUUUUAAGCACACUCCUAGUUUUCAAGUGAAAUAGAUGCCUGAAACAGUCACCUUUCUGCUCAGACUUUGCUUUGUGCUGAAAUCAGUGUGCAGUGAAAUUCCAUGCCUGAGAGCUUCAGAAAAUAAGUCCCUAAGUUAGAGAAGUUCUGCAUUAGUAAGUACAGCCCUGCAUAGAACAGCAUCUGAAGUCUACCAUGAUGUGGCCUUUAGGAUGAUGACAGUAUGUGAAGGAGGAAAGAAUGCAAGUAGCAAGAUUCAUACCUUCUUAGUAGCAUUCCAUAUGGUGAAAACCAGAGGUGGCAUGAGACUCCAGUGUGUGCAAGUCCACAGACACAUGGUACCAACACUGGAGUCUUGUCUGUACAGAGGACUUCAAGACUCACCUCUAUGAAACAUACCAAGUAGAUGAGCCAGAAUUCUGACUGUGCAGUUCCUCAGACACUGUCACUGGAUGACCUGCCUAUAAAGAAGACUAUGAGCAACACCUCUGUGAAACAUACGAAAUAGAAUGCCUAUGGCCUGACUAUCUCAUUCCUUAGGCAUCAGAAGCAGAGAGCCUGCCCAGAGUUUGUAUUUAUGGGCUUAAAUAUAGAUCUGAAAAUCUAACAGUCCCUAAUGUGGAAAAUAUGGCAAACAAAAAAGAAUAAAAGGUAAAUUAAAUGUUCAUGAAAUUUUACAGUGUUAGCCUGCCCACUAGAACACAUGUGUGCACACAAGUAUACAAUACACAUGUAUAUACGAACACACACACACACACACACACACACACACACACACACACACACACAAUUUAUAAAGUAAAGUUUAAACAUAAAGUCAAUAAUUUACACUUAAAUAAAUUUAUAAUUACUUUCAUAAUCCAUACUGUUUGGAUACCUAAACAACAACUAACUGAAUUUAGGAAACUUUUAUAUAAUAAAGUAUUUCAUGUCGGGAUGCCUCUGUUGAUACCAAUGCCUAGAUAUUUCAGAGGUGAAAAAUGGCCUUUGUUGUAAGGUUCCUGUUUGAGACUGUCCUUCCAAGACAGUGAUUUCCAAGGUUUGUAAGUGUAGAUUGUAUUAGAGACUAAGCCAGGAGCUAGGUCUUACCUUUCACACAGAGGAGAGUGCUGAAAUCAGAGGUCAAGUUUGUCCACUUAUCUGACAAUAGGUUGGGUGCUUUUGAUUUCAUAAAAUGAACUCAAGGCCUCAUGCCAGCAGCAAGUCAUGCUGGCUCUUGAAUUUGUAAGAAACUGGACUGUGCUAGUGUGGGAUCAUUUAAUUGCCUUCCAAGGGUUUCGGUUCUCUUUUGCAAAGGGACUAAUUUUCUCAGAGUUAGUGGAGUGCCAAAAGAGCAAAGACCAGUGAGAGAGUGGAAAAGUAAGUAAAACAAAAAGAGGAGAGUUCAGCAAAGCAUAUAACCAGCUCUGGAGUCCCUGAAGAGCUCAGGGCAUUUUACCUACUGCAGUGGCUGCCCAAGGCAAUGUCUGUUGCUCAUCUUUCUGCCUUUUCCCUCGGGUAGGAAACCAAUGUGGAAUUUGGAGCCAUGUGAUGGUACAGGCUUACUUAGAAGCAGAGAUUCGGACUUCACAAGUCUGGAUAGGGUUUUAGAAAGUCCUUCUUUAAUCAGAGGGCUUAGAGAAACUGUGACUGCUCUGUGCAUACAAGAGCCACGUUACUUCCCUGUAGGUUGCUUCCAAUCCUCCUUGGUCAGUUACCUAAGGAAAACUAAAACUGAUCUGUGUUUGGCGGGGACAUGACAAAAGCUUGAUCCAUUAGUGGCACAAUUAUGAGACUUACUUAGUGAUAAAGUUCAAUGUUCUUACUGUGUUCACAAACAAUGCUUCAGUGAAUAUACAGACACACAGUUGCACAAUGGUGCAUAGAUUGUCUGUAGGACAUUUUGUACAGAGAAAUAGCAUGGGUUGAAAUGUUUGUCUACUUAUAAUUUUGAUGGAUGUUAUGAACUGCCUGGCUCUUUCACCAGCACUGUUUAAGAGGAGCAGUUUCCUCCUGAUUCCUGUCUAUCAAGUCUAGUCAAUAUUCAGUGACACAUUGCUUCAUUAUUUGAAUGUCUGUGUGAGCCAAUUCUCUUUCCCUGUUUUGCUGAUACUCAAUGGCUGAGAAUGUCUUAAUGGUUAAUAGUUAGAAAAGAGCAAGAGCCUUGUUGGAACAUCAAAUGGAUUUGACUAGAGCCUUGCUGUUGGCAAAUGGGAUGUCCAGGAAUCAUGAGUAAAGUUUAAUCAUAAAGCAAAAUGACUGAUCUUUUAGCCAAUAUGCUAGUUUCUGGGCAUCAAGUACUUUUAUGGAUUAUGAAGUUCACCUGAGGCAUAAUGAUUGAACCAUUUAUUGUUUUAGUAACUACAAGGUUAUUCUUAGUGAACUGAAAUCAGUGAAUCAGAACACAGAUCCUUGAUUUUUUUAGACCACAAGUUUUACUGCAAAAGGAACAUGCCAUCUGUAAAGCAUAGAGAUAUACAUCUUCUUUACUUUGUUCAGCAAACACAGAUAGUCACACGACUUUACAGAGAUUUGCUCUCUUCAUCUGCUCAAUGAGAAUUCUUAUUCUAGAGUCCAUCAUUGUUGGCAGUCAUAUUAUUAUGUAAUUUAUUCAAGAUACCAGGCACAUAGUGAUUUGAAUAAAGUUUGGUAUUGGUGAGUUAUUUUUUUUAAAUUAACUUACUUUUAUUUUUAUAUACAUUGGUGUUUUGCUUACAAGUAUGUCUGUAUGUAGGAAUCAGAUCCCCUGGAACAGGAGUGAUAGACAGCUAUGAGCUGCCAUGUGGGUGCUGGGAAUUGAACCUGGGUCUCCUGGAAGAACAUCUAGUGUUCUUAACCACUAAUAUAUCUCUCCAGUCACUUCAUGAGAGAGUUUUAAGGAGAAGUACUGGAGGUCAGGGAAACAAAACAUGCCUGCUGAUUGAUCCUGAUGAUGUGUCCAUGUCUGAGGUGAGCUGGGUGUCUAGGGUUGUGUCUAGAAUGAAUGCUUCUACACAGAAUAGGCUUUGGGUUUGAUCCCAAGCAUGCAAAACCUAAAAGGAGCAGCACCCAAGGUACUCUCAGACAAGCCAUGUCAUCUCCAUUAUCCUGAGAUGUGGUCAUAAUUCUAGCUGUCCCCUAUCUCCUGUUAUUUCUAAUGACUUUUAAAUAAAUGAAUCUGAAAUAGAGAUUAUUCUCUCCAUUGCCAUGUCUCUCACAAUGCUAAACAUGAAAAAUACAUAAAUAAAAUACAUUUAUACUAAAUGAACUGACACUUGUCCCUCACACUCAAUCCCUAAACGAACCAGUUGGUGAUUCUUUAAAAAUGAAAGUUCUAAAUUUUUGAGCAUGUUCAUAGUUUACUUGUGCUAAAACUCAAGGAAAUGAUGUGUUUGGAUGUCAUCUUGAAUCUGGUGCUUGAGAGUAGUAAGAGGUAACUUUAGUGGUGUCAGAGUGGGGAGAGGUAAGUCUCUCUUUGGCAACUCCUUGAGGUGUGGCUUUAGGCAUGUCAUAGAAAUGCUGCACUUCCCUUUCCUCCUCUGUACUUUGACAGUGCACUGACAUUGAGGUGAGUACCUAAGAGUUGUUAUGAGAUGAAACAGAAACCAAGACAACAGAGCUUAGAGUAGAGCCUAUCACAUGACAAUCAUUCAUCAAAUGUUAGAUAAUAUUGUCAUUCCCAAAUGACAGCUUAUUGUAUAUCAGCUGUUGUGUCAAGAAAUCCAUGUGUGUAGUUGGCUCCAUACUUAGUUGCUUCUUCUGUGUUAGAGUUUUGAAGCAACUGUGAUACAACAAAGCAAAUCAACAGAUAGAGACUUGUCACUGAUAGGUAAUAUUUCUGAGAGAGAGAUUGCAAAAGAUCUUGUUACUUCCUAUUUUCCUGUCUAUAACUAGGCAUAGCCCACCCUGGUGAAGUCUGAGUCUCUCAUAUCUCCCUCCUCAGGGAUGGGGAAGGAAGGGGCAGACCUGAUCCUCCCAACUGGAGAUCUUUGUAGAUGAGCUCCACCCAAUGGACCAGGGAUGACUAACACCAGUUUGAUAAACAAGAAUUCCUAGAUAGAAGUAAACAGUGGAGCAAGAGAAAGUAAAAAGUGGAGAAGUGGAAAGUUGAGCAUGGGGAAGAGGCCUUUUCAUCUAAUGAAGAAGAAAAAGCCCAUGUUUAAAUUUUAUGAAAUAAAGAAGAACAGGAAGUCUGAGAUGUCCUAGGAAAACAAAUAUUAUUUUUUUAAAUUCCCCAUGAAGGAUUUUUAUGGCCACAGUCUCAUGUUUUUUUGUUUUUUGUUUUUUCUACAGCAGUCUUAUAGACUAAAUGGGAAAUGAAAACAGGAAACUGCUAUUGAGAAGAUACAGUUCCUAGAACCUUUUAAUAACUCACUCAGAUUGCCUUACCUGUUCAAGUUCACUGUCAGUGGCUAGUGGUUAGGAACAUUCCACAUCUAACUACAGGCUAGAGAAAAAAGGGUAGGGCAUGCCUGGAAAAACAACUCUCAGAGACAACAUGCCUAUGCUUGUUCUUUCAAAGUAAGUAUUGUAAAUUCAUAGCUUUGUUGUAAUUAAUUUUACUCUAUUAUUUAUUUUUAAUGUGUUAUUUUUGUUUAUUUGUUGAGAAUUUCAUACAUGCAUACAGUGUAUUUUAGUCAUAACCAUCUCCCACUCCUUCCUCCCCUAACUUUUUCCAGAUCCACCCCCAUCCUCCCACUGCAUUCCAACUUCCUGUCUUCAUUUAUUUCAUGGCCUUUUGAUUUCAGUUUGUGCUAUUCAUAUACACAUGGUUUUGAAAUCAUCUACUUGGGUGUGGUCAACAAACCAGGGGCCACAUCUUAAAAUAAAACUGAUUGUUCAGCCACAGAGAACUAAUCAAUUGUCAAUAGAUACUUAGUGCUCAGGGGUCAUGAGCACCUCGAUACUUCAUUUUGUAAUGUUGAAUGUCUUGCUGUUACGUAGUAACCAAAAGGGAUAUGAGUUUAUGAAUGCAGUUGUCCUGUCAUAUACAGAAAACACUAUUUUGAUCUGGUCCUCCUCAAUUUCUAGCUCUUAUAAUAUUUUCAUCCCUUCUUCUGAGAUGGUCAUUGAGCCCU